UUCGGAGAGUUUGAUCAUGGCUCAGGACGAACGCUGGCGGUGUGCCUAAAACAUGCAAGUCGAACGGACCUUCGGGUCAGUGGCGAACGGCGGAGUAAUACAUGAGUAACGUGCCCUUCAGACGGGGAUAUACAGUCGAAAGACUGGGCAAUACCGGAUGAGAUGGCGAGGAGGCAUCUCCUUGUCAUGAAAUGGUUUUUCGCUGAAGGAGCGGCUCAUGACACAUCAGAUAGUUGGUGGGGUAACGGCCUACCAAG
rnacentral:rRNA from 1 species